rnacentral:rRNA from 1 species
UACAGUGGGGGCAAGCGUUGUUCGGAAUUACUGGGCGUAAAGGGCGCGUAGGCGGCCUUCUAAGUCGAACGUGAAAUCCCCGGGCUCAACCCGGGAACUGCGUCCGAGACUGGAAGGCUUGAAUCCGGGAGAGGGAUGUGGAAUUCCAGGUGUAGCGGUGAAAUGCGUAGAUAUCUGGAGGAACAUCGGUGGCGAAGGCGGCAUCCUGGACCGGUAUUGACGCUGAGGCGCGAAAGCCAGGGGAGCAAACGGG